CAUCAUCAAAUGAAAUAUCUUGGUCUUGCAAGGCAAUCUCUCGUUCACCUGAAAAAUAAAUACAAAAUUAAUAUAAAAUUACAUAUAAACAGUACAGAUGGAAUUCAAAAUACAUCAGAAAAAUUAUCAUUGUGGAAAAUUCAAUAUUAAGAUAGAGACAGAAAGUUCAAUAUUAACAUUGAGCUUAAUAUUGCUAAAGUGUAAGGCAGGCAAAACAAACUUCAAAUCAUAAAGACCAAAAUCAGACUGUUGAUAUGCAAGAAACAAACAUCAAGAUGCCAGUAAAGCCUUGGUCUAACAGUGAGAGUACUAACAGUUGGAACAACAAAUUCUGAGUUCAAACCCAUCCAAGCUCCUUUAAUUUUUCAACUUUUGCAAAAAAUCUAUAUCAACAGCAAAGACAAAUGAAGCAGUAAUAGCGGUAUCUUGCAGAUCAACAGAUAGUAUCUUAUAAAAGUAAUUGUAUAACCUUCUUAGAUAUCAAUGGAUCAGAGGUUCAAAAUUGCAAAAUUUUGAAGUUUGGAAUGAUUGCACAGUGAAUGGCCAAAGCUUCACAGUCUAACUAUAGUGCUUAAGUACUAAUUCUCAAGCAUGCUGUUUUUUAGUAAAAAUAUAUAAAAAAUAGUUUGUUUUAAUCUUUUCAUAUAACUUGUUUUAUUUUUUAAAUAAAUAAAUUUUUAAUAAUAUGAUGGUUUCUUUAUGAAAAAUACAUCCAACUAGGCAUUGAUGAUCCAAAAUAACAUUCAAAUUAAGUGUUAACUACCAAAUAAACCUCCAGUCUCAAUUUGAGUAUCAUUGUGGACUAUUAAUAUUUAAUUUGAUAUUUUUUUAUAAAUGUUUUAUAAAAUCAUAAAACAAAAAAACCAUAAAAAAAAUUAAAUAUAUUAAGGAAAAACAUAUUAUCAGGUCUCGAACAGCAAAAAAAUUAAAACGUUUUAACUUCAAACUUUAUAAUUAUUUUAAAACGUUAUAAUUCUAUUAGUAUUUGAAUUACAUAUUAUUUUUAUGACAUCAAAUUUUAUAUCUUAAUAUUGAACUUUCCAAAAUUAGUGAAAUAUACACUUGGAAAUAUCCUCUUGUAAGUAACCCAAGUGACAUAGAUACAGAAAUUUAUAAAGAAUUAAUAAAAAUAGAAAUACAGAUAUUUGUGUGUGGAGCUACGCAUUAAAUUCAAUAUCACUCGUAAA